rnacentral:rRNA from 1 species
ACGAACGCUGGCGGCGUGCUUAACACAUGCCAGUCGAACGGAAAGGCCCUGCUUUUGUGGGGUGCUCGAGUGGCGAACGGGUGAGUAACACGUGAGUAACCUGCCCUUGACUUUGGGAUAACUUCAGGAAACUGGGGCUAAUACCGGAUAGGAGCUCCUGCUGCAUGGUGGGGGUUGGAAAGUUUCGGCGGUUGGGGAUGGACUCGCGGCUUAUCAGCUUGUUGGUGGGGUAGUGGCUUACCAAGGCUUUGACGGGUAGCCGGCCUGAGAGGGUGACCGGCGACAUUGGGACUGAGAUACGGCCCAGACUCCUACGGGAGGCAGCAGUGGGGAAUAUUGCACAAUGGGCGGAAGCCUGAUGCAGCAACGCCGCGUGCGGGAUGACGGCCUUCGGGUUGUAAACCGCUUUCGCCUGUGACGAAGCGUGAGUGACGGUAAUGGGUAAAGAAGCACCGGCUAACUACGUG